CCUACGGGUGGCAGCAGUGGGGAAUAUUGGACAAUGGGGGGAACCCUGAUCCAGCCAUGCCGCGUGUGUGAAGAAGGCCCUCGGGUUGUAAAGCACUUUCAGUGAGGAAGAACGCCUGGUGGUGAAUACCCAUCAGGAAAGACAUCACUCACAGAAGAAGCACCGGCUAACUCCGUGCCAGCAGCCGCGGUAAUACGGAGGGUGCGAGCGUUAAUCGGAAUUACUGGGCGUAAAGCGCGCGUAGGUGGCUUGAUAAGCCGGUUGUGAAAGCCCCGGGCUCAACCUGGGAACGGCAUCCGGAACUGUCAAGCUAGAGUGCAGGAGAGGAAGGUAGAAUUCCCGGUGUAGCGGUGAAAUGCGUAGAGAUCGGGAGGAAUACCAGUGGCGAAGGCGGCCUUCUGGACUGACACUGACACUGAGGUGCGAAAGCGUGGGUAGCAAACAGGAUUAGAUACCCCGGUAGUC
rnacentral:rRNA from 1 species